GUAUUCCAUUUAGAAGGAAAAAUUCUACUUACUAAAUCAUCAUGAGUCAUUCAUUGUAAGAAAUAUAUUGCUCUCAAAACUGUUGAAAUGUGAAGAAACACACUGCUGUUUCUGUUUCCUUUAACACAUACAGUUAUCUCAGUGAAGAAGAGAAGUGACUUAAAGUAAAACGUGAACAAGUGACAAAUUGGGCACUACAUGGAUUUGGCAGAAACGAGGACAGUGCCGCAGCACCUACAUUAUCAAAUGGAGACAUCAAUGAUGAUGAAUGGAGAUUUCUGACACCUUGGCAUCCACAGGAAUUGGGGACAGAGCGUAUUCCGAGCCACCCAAGAGAAGGAAAAACCAUCGUGGUGUCCACUGGAGGAUUAUUGCUGAAUCCAACAACAAAACAGAAAGCUGCUGGAGACUGUGGUCUUUGGUGCCGAGGAAGGGAUCACAGAGUGGCUCAGACCAGUGCAUCGGCGUUCUAUUGGCAGCUCAGACCCUUGCCAAAGGCCCAGCUGUGACUUGCUGGUUGGACUGGUGGUACUGAUGCUUUGGUAAACUUCUUUCCAUUCUCUGGGCUCUACUCCUCACACAGUUGUCCCUGGAAUUCAUGCCCGUUUGCGCCUUCCUUCCAGAUUUCUGAAGUUGCUGGGUCUUAGCUUCAUCUCAGCAAACUGGAUGGAGUAUUCGUGGCCUUUCCAAUGGAA